rnacentral:rRNA from 1 species
CCUACGGGUGGCAGCAGUGGGGAAUAUUGGGCAAUGGGCGCAAGCCUGCCCCAGCAACGCCGCGUGAAGGAAGAAGGCCCUCGGGUUGUAAACUUCUUUUGUCAGGGAAGAAACAAAUGACGGUACCUUACGAAUAAGCCACGGCUAACUACGUGCCAGCAGCCGCGGUAAUAAGUAGGUGGCAAGCGUUAUCCGGAUUUACUGGGUGUAAAGGGCGUGGAGGCGGGAGAGCAAGUCAGUGGUUAAAUUCCAGGGCUCAACCCUGGAACUACAUUUGAAACUGUUUUUCUUGAGUGAUGGAGGGGCAUGAGGAAUUCCGUGUUUAGCGGUGAAAUGCGUAGAUAUACGGAGGAACACCAGUGGCGAAGGCGGCCUGCUGGACAUUAACUGACGCUGAGGCGCGAAAGCGUGGGGAGCAAACAGGAUUAGAUACCCCAGUAGUC